AACAGAGUAGAUUCGGGCGAGUAUGGAGCUGUAAAAUACGGCUCUCAGUGCCGCAGUUACGGGGAGUUGAACUGCGGACGAAUACGAAAGUUGCUGUGCCCGUUUCGCAUCCCGCUGUU
rfam:Ruminococcus sp. CAG:724 genomic scaffold, scf290